rnacentral:rRNA from 1 species
UCCUAUGGAUUGUAAACUGCUUUUAUACGAGAAGAAACACUGCUUCGUGAAGCAGCUUGACGGUAUCGUAAGAAUAAGGAUCGGCUAACUCCGUGCCAGCAGCCGCGGUAAUACGGAGGAUCCAAGCGUUAUCCGGAAUCAUUGGGUUUAAAGGGUCCGUAGGCGGUUUAAUAAGUCAGUGGUGAAAGCCCAUCGCUCAACGGUGGAACGGCCAUUGAUACUGUUAAACUUGAAUUAUUAGGAAGUAACUAGAAUAUGUAGUGUAGCGGUGAAAUGCUUAGAGAUUACAUGGAAUACCAAUUGCGAAGGCAGGUUACUACUAAUGGAUUGACGCUGAUGGACGAAAGCGUGGGUAGCGAACAGGAUUAGAUACCCUGGUAGUCCACGCCGUAAACGAUGGAUACUAGCUGUUGGAAGCAAUUUCAGUGGCUAAGCGAAAGUGAUAAGUA